UGGGCGAGCUACCAUGCAGUCGAGCGGCAGCGGGUCCUUCGGGAUGCCGGCGAGCGGCGGACGGGUGAGUAAUGCCUAGGAAUCUGCCUGGUAGUGGGGGAUAACGUUCGGAAACGGACGCUAAUACCGCAUACGUCCUACGGGAGAAAGUGGGGGAUCUUCGGACCUCACGCUAUCAGAUGAGCCUAGGUCGGAUUAGCUAGUUGGUGGGGUAAUGGCUCACCAAGGCGACGAUCCGUAACUGGUCUGAGAGGAUGAUCAGUCACACUGGAACUGAGACACGGUCCAGACUCCUACGGGAGGCAGCAGUGGGGAAUAUUGGACAAUGGGCGAAAGCCUGAUCCAGCCAUGCCGCGUGUGUGAAGAAGGUCUUCGGAUUGUAAAGCACUUUAAGUUGGGAGGAAGGGCAGCUAGUUAAUACCUGGUUGUUUUGACGUUACCAACAGAAUAAGCACCGGCUAACUUCGUGCCAGCAGCCGCGGUAAUACGAAGGGUGCAAGCGUUAAUCGGAAUUACUGGGCGUAAAGCGCGCGUAGGUGGUUCAGCAAGUUGGAGGUGAAAUCCCCGGGCUCAACCUGGGAACUGCCUCCAAAACUACUGAGCUAGAGUACGGUAGAGGGUAGUGGAAUUUCCUGUGUAGCGGUGAAAUGCGUAGAUAUAGGAAGGAACACCAGUGGCGAAGGCGACUACCUGGACUGAUACUGACACUGAGGUGCGAAAGCGUGGGGAGCAAACAGGAUUAGAUACCCUGGUAGUCCACGCCGUAAACGAUGUCGACUAGCCGUUGGGAUCCUUGAGAUCUUAGUGGCGAAGCUAACGCGAUAAGUCGACCGCCUGGGGAGUACGGCCGCAAGGUUAAAACUCAAUGAAUUUGACGGGGGCCCGCACAGCGGUGGAGCAUGUGAUUAAUUCGAAGCACGCGAGAUCUUACUGGACUGACAUGCUGAGACUUUCCCAGAAGAAUGCAUUGGGUGCCUUCGGGAA
rnacentral:rRNA from 1 species